rnacentral:rRNA from 1 species
UACAGAGGGUGCAAGCGUUGUUCGGAAUUAUUGGGCGUAAAGCGCGUGUAGGCGGCUUGGCAAGUCGGGUGUGAAAUCCCUCAGCUCAACUGAGGAAGUGCGCCCGAAACUGCUUAGCUUGAGUGCCGGAGAGGAUGGCGGAAUUCCCCAAGUAGAGGUGAAAUUCGUAGAUAUGGGGAGGAACACCGGUGGCGAAGGCGGCCAUCUGGACGGCAACUGACGCUGAGACGCGAAAGCGUGGGUAGCAAACAGG